rnacentral:rRNA from 1 species
AACGCGAAGAACCUUACCCGGGCUUGAACUACUCGUGGUAGGCCGCUAGAAACAGUGGCCGACCCGCAAGGGAGCGAGCAGAGGUGCUGCAUGGUUGUCGUCAGCUCGUGUCGUGAGAUGUUGGGUUAAGUCCCGCAACGAGCGCAACCCCUACUCGAUGUUGCUAAUCCCGCAAGGGAUGCACUCUUCGAGAACUGCCUUCGAUAAGAAGGAGGAAGGUGGGGACGACGUCAAGUCAUCAUGCCCCUUAUGUCCUGGGCUACACACGUGUUACAAUGGCUGGGACAAUGUGAUGCAAAACGGCGACGUCGAGCGAAUCACCAAACCCAGUCUCAGUUCGGAUCGCAGGCUGCAACUCGCCUGCGUGAAGUCGGAAUCGCUAGUAACCGCCGAUCAGCACGCGGCGGUGAAUACGUUCCCGGGCCUUGUACACACCGCUCGCGA